rnacentral:tRNA from 6 species
GGGGCCUUAGCUCAGUUGGUAGAGCGCCGCCUUUGCAAGGCGGAUGUCAGGAGUUCGAAUCUCCUAGGCUCCAC